rnacentral:antisense_RNA from 1 species
CUUUAUGGUGGAUCGAAUGGGGAGGCGUAAGCCUGCCGUUUUACCUGUGUUUCACGGUUGACCAACCCCGUUCGGUCUGCCACCCCA